GACACAGCCGCCCAGAAACGGGCGGCCAUGUUGAGGAAGAAGAAACGGCCGCAGGAGCAGAAGCGGGGACCGGGGAGGGCAGAAGGAGGAGCAGAGGCGGCAGCGGCAGAGAGGGGAAAACCCCGGAAGCCAGAGAAGCGGCGGGGGCAGGACCGGGCGUGCCAGGAGAACGGACCGGGAGACCCACACCUGCCUGGGAGUAAAUAUAUCCAUUGAACCCAGCCACACAACAGACAAAAGGAGCCUGAAGUGAAGGGGCGAGGUUUACCCUUUAUUUGCUGCAGCCUUCCCCCCCCCCCCGACCGUUCCUCGGCCCGCCAUGCCCCAGUUCUUCUGGCCAGUGUAGCCGGGUGGACGCGCCGUGCCCCUGAAGCUGAGACGCCGUGCCGUGCUCGCUUUUCCCGCUCCCACUCCCUGACUCACUAGCACACCACGCUCUUUGUUCAGGAUCGGAGGUGGCCAGCUGACGGAGAAACAGCCGCAGGAGCAGAAGCGGGGACCAGGGAAGGCAGAAGGAGGAGCAGAAGUGAGAACCAGCACAUAAUGGCGGCAGCAGCCCGAAAACCAAACAAGAAAAGUUAAAUGAAACACUAAAGAGAGACUAAUCCUCAGGGAGGGGAAGGGUGAGAACUGACCGGCAGCAGCUUCUCCCGCCUUCCCUCCUCUUGACUGGCUGAUGAAAUGCUCGGGCUCAGCCCAGCCCCGCUUCAGCCUGAUUGACAGUCUGGGCAGCGAGAGAGAUCAUGGCAGAUGCUCAGCGCCGGCAUCACUCUCAUUGCUGAGCCUGUCAGUCAGGCUGAGGGCAGGACGGGCUGAGCCUCAGCUAUACCUACUCAGGCAGUCACGGCGAAGCGAGGGCUGGCCAGGCACUUUCUGUGGAGCCAAUGCCACCAAUGUGGGAGGUUUGCUUAGUUUGCCCGAUUUCAGGACAAAUCCAGAGAAAUCACCCACCCUUUGGUCUGAUUCUAGGCAGUUCACGGGUUCAUAUAUUGCAGCAGUGCCACUGUCUUAGGCUAAACAGUCAUCACAGUGAAGUCCUCUUGAACAGAGUAGAAGCAUGCACUUUAUAAGAACUGGAGUUUUCUGGACUUCAGCAGGGCGUACUGGAUACAAGAACUAGCUCAUCAUAGACUAAGAGAGAAAAGAAAGAGAAAGAAAGGAAAAGGACAAAAGAAACAAGGAGGGAGGGAGGGAAACCAGAAAAGAGAGAAGGAAGGAAGGAAGAAGAAAGAAAAAGGAGAAAGGAGUGAGGGAGAAGGACAAAAGAGAGAGAGAGAGGGAGGGAGGAGCAGCCAGCCCCAAAGAACAAGCCCGUUAAAGAAAGAAAAGAAGAAAAAAGAAAGAAUCCAGAAAGAUGGGAGUGAGAAGAGGUGGAAGAAAGGAAGAAAAGGAGAGAGAGGGAGAGGGAGAGAGAGAGAGAAGAAAGGAAGGGAAGGAAACAGAGGAAGAGAGAGAGAAAAGGAAGGAGUGAAAGAGAGAGAGAUAAAAAGAAAAAAGGAAAGAAGGGCGAAAGAGAGGGAGAAGGAAUAAAGGAAACAAAAACAACAAAAAAAGGUACUAGCGCCCGUUAUUUUAACGGGCUUAAAAAUACUAGUGAAAACAUAAUAACACAGUGAAAGCUUGAACGUAUUGCAAUGCUGUCACCUAUUCUCCAUCUCUAGGAUUGUAGACCUUGUCAAAAAUCCCAAUGAGCGUUCAUCCCAGAUGGUACUGGCCACCCCAGAUGGCAGAUGCAGAAGGAUAGCACAAACCAGAGUACACCUUCUUUCUAGGAGAGCUGGUAACCCCGGAGACCAACCUGGCUGCUGCAUUCUGUAUCAGCUGCAGUUUCUGGACUACGUACAAAGGCAGCCCAACGUAGAGCACAUUGCAAUAGUCAAGUCUGGAUGUUACCAGCAGAUGCACCACCGUUUUAAGGUCGUUUCAUCUCACGAAAUGGAUGUAGCUGGAGUAUCAGCCAAAGUUGAUAGUAAGCCCUCCUGGCCACUGCCUCUACCUGAAAGACUAGGGAGGGGUUUGAGUCCAGAAGUACUCCCAGACCAUAUAAUUGUAAACCGCCCUGAGCCAUUUUGGAAGGGCGGUAUAUCAAUCAAUCAAUCAAUCAAUCAAUCAAUCAAUCAAUCAACUAACUAACACACACAGGAAUAAUAUGGUCUCUGGCUGCCACAUUCUGUACCAACUGCAGUUUCCGGACUAUGUACAAAGGUAGCCCCACAUAGAGCACAUUGCAAAAGUCCAGUCCAGCGGUCAUUCAUCACAAGAAACGGAUGCAGCUGGCAUAUCAGCCGAAGCUGACAGAAAGCCCCUCUCUCCACUGCCUCAACCUGGGACACCAGGGAGAGGUUUGGAUCCAGAAGUACCCUCAGACUGUGUACCUGUUCCUUCUGGGGGAGCGUGACCCCAUCCAGAACUGGCAGAUCAAAAUCGUCUCCCAUAUCCCAAUCCCACACAAUAAAUACCUCUGUCUUAUCUGGA